rnacentral:sRNA from 1 species
CCGAACUGUGCACCAGCGGUACAGGACGGGCGUCGGU